rnacentral:rRNA from 1 species
AUUGAACGCUGGCGGCAGGCCUAACACAUGCAAGUCGAACGGUAACAGGAAACAGCUUGCUGUUUCGCUGACGAGUGGCGGACGGGUGAGUCAUGUCUGGGAAACUGCCUGAUGGAGGGGGAUAACUACUGGAAACGGUAGCUAAUACCGCAUAACGUCGCAAGACCAAAGAGGGGGACCUUCGGGCCUCUUGCCAUCGGAUGUGCCCAGAUGGGAUUCGCUAGUAGGUGGGGUAACGGCUCACCUAGGCGACGAUCCCUAGCUGAUCUGAGAGGAUGAUCGGCCACACUGGAACGGGGACAGGGUCCAGACUCCUACGGGAGGCAGCAGUGGGGAAUAUGGCACAAUGGGCGCAAGCCUGAUGCAGCCAUGCCGCGUGUAUGAAGAAGGCCUUCGGGUUGUAAAGUACUUUCAGCGGGGAGGAAGGGAGUAAAGUUAAUACGUUUGCUCAUUGACGGUACCCGCAGAAGAAGCACCGGCUAACUCCGUG